AGUGCAAAUUCAGUGGAUUCGACGGGCUGCCUCCCGAAGGAUUACAGUCGGCGGGCUGCCUCCCGUAGGAUUAUUUUCUACCCCGUGAGUAUGACGGUACUUGAAUAAUAAGCACCGGCUAACUACGUGCCAGCAGCCGCGGUAAUACGUAGGGUGCGAGCGUUAAUCGGAAUUACUGGGCGUAAAGCGUGCGCAGGCGGCUUUGCAAGACAGAUGUGAAAUCCCCGGGCUCAACCUGGGAACUGCAUUUGUGACUGCAAGGCUAGAGUACGGCAGAGGGGGAUGGAAUUCCGCGUGUAGCAGUGAAAUGCGUAGAUAUGCGGAGGAACACCAAUGGCGAAGGCAAUCCCCUGGGCCUGUACUGACGCUCAUGCACGAAAGCGUGGGGAGCAAACAGGAUUAGAUACCCUGGUAGUCCACGCCCUAAACGAUGUCAACUGGUUGUUGGACGGCUUGCUGUUCAGUAACGAAGCUAACUCGUGAAGUUGACCGCCUGGGGAGUACGGCCGUAAGGUUGAAACUCAAA
rnacentral:rRNA from 1 species